AGAACGAACGCUGGCGGCACGCCUAACACAUGCAAGUCGAGCGCCCAGCAAUGGGAGCGGCGGACGGGUGAGGAACACGUGGGAACAUGCCUUUCGGUUCGGCACAACUGCGGGAAACUGCAGCUAAUUCCGGAUACGCCCUUACGGGGAAAGAUUUAUCGCCGAAAGAUUGGCCCGCGUCUGAUUAGCUAGUUGGUGAGGUAAUGGCUCACCAAGGCUUCGAUCAGUAGCUGGUUUGAGAGAACGACCAGCCACACUGGGACUGAGACACGGCCCAGACUCCUACGGGAGGCAGCAGUGGGAAUCUUGGACAAUGGAGGAAACUCUGAUCCAGCGAUGCCGCGUGAGUGAUGAAGGCCUUCGGGUUGUAAAACUCUUUCGACGGGACGAUAAUGACGGUACCGUAGAAGAGCGUCCGCUAACUUCGCGCCAGCAGCCGC
rnacentral:rRNA from 1 species